GACGAACGCUGGCGGCGUGCUUAACACAUGCAAGUCGAACGGAAAGGCUCCAGCUUGCUGGAGUACUCGAGUGGCGAACGGGUGAGUAACACGUGGGUAAUCUGCCCUGUACUCUGGGAUAAGCCUGGGAAACUGGGUCUAAUACUGGAUAUGACCUUUCUCCUUAUGGGGUUUGGUGGAAAGUUUUUCGGUGUAGGAUGAGCCCGCGGCCUAUCAGCUUGUUGGUGGGGUGAUGGCCUACCAAGGCGACGACGGGUAGCCGGCCUGAGAGGGUGAUCGGCCACAUUGGGACUGAGAUACGGCCCAGACUCCUACGGGAGGCAGCAGUGGGGAAUAUUGCACAAUGGGCGGAAGCCUGAUGCAGCGACGCCGCGUGAGGGAUGACGGCCUUCGGGUUGUAAACCUCUUUCAGCAGGGACGAAGCGUAAGUGACGGUACCUGCAGAAGAAGCACCGGCUAACUAUGUG
rnacentral:rRNA from 1 species